GAGGUUAAGCGACUAAGCGUACACGGUGGAUGCCCUGGCAGUCAGAGGCGAUGAAGGACGUGCUAAUCUGCGAUAAGCGCCGGUAAGGUGAUAUGAACCGUUAUAACCGGCGAUUUCCGAAUGGGGAAACCCAGUGUGACUCGUCACACUAUCAUUAACUGAAUCCAUAGGUUAAUGAGGCGAACCGGGGGAACUGAAACAUCUAAGUACCCCGAGGAAAAGAAAUCAACCGAGAUUCCCCCAGUAGCGGCGAGCGAACGGGGAGGAGCCCAGAGCCUGAAUCAGCAUGUGUGUUAGUGGAAGCGUCUGGAAAGGCGCGCGAUACAGGGUGACAGCCCCGUACACAAAAGCGCAUGUGCUGUGAGCU
rnacentral:rRNA from 1 species